GGCAGGGAUCUUCCAGGGGUGGAGUCGUGAUCCGAUUGAGGGCUCUCUACCCUCGAAUUUGUUUUCCCGGGAAGGACGGGGUGGCUGGCCCAGGUGGCCCGCCCUGCCGCCGGGUUCCGGCAUUCCGGAGAUGCCCUUUCCGGAUGCACCGACGCCUGCGGUUGCUGCUGCUGCAUUGCUUGUACGGCUUCGACGAGGCCUCUGACCUGCUGUGCCAGCAAGUCAAAUUGCUCCGCGCCGACCGCCGCCACCGGAGGGGGAGGAGGAGGAGGCUGAGAAACUGGAGGGGAGGCCGGAGCCUGAGAUCUGGCCGCGGAGGCCGUAGACCGCCGGGUGGACACCUUGCACGGAGGCAUCGAGUGUCGAUCUCGUGAAGGGAGGUUAGAAGCGGGUAACGGAGAGACGGUCAGGGACGGCUCCGUUGAACACUCCUUUAAGAACAAGGGUGCUGU
rnacentral:lncRNA from 1 species